UAGGAAUAUCAGCAGCCACAGCACUCAGUCACCCAGGGGAAUCUACAUGUUUAAGCUUUCAUACCCUGUUCGGUUUCUUGUAGAACUCACUCAACACCUGGAGUGGAUUAAAUAGAUGAUGUAGAUUUCAACUGCUUAGAAAUAUCCAUUUCUGCCACAUUUCCUGCUGCCUGUUUUACUUCUGUGGAGUUAUUUAGUUGUCAUGUUGGAUGAGUCUGAGCUAUUUUCCCAGCACGCUGUACUAUAGUGUGAGUGCACCUUCUAGGGAAAAGGGCACAGACUGAACAACUUAUCAUCAGAAUCUGUGUUGACUGAAGGAAGGAUGGCAACAGAUUCCUGUCAGAUGAUUUUGCCUCAGACAAUUUGGCUGUGAAUGCUCAAAGAAUGAGGAAUAAGUACCCAGGGCAUAGAGCAUAAAGGUUCUUGUGACAUUGAGCUACAAGGAUUUGACUCCUGAGUCUCAAAAGGACACCAAGUACUGCCAAAUCUCAAACUCUGACAGCAAUUAAAGCCUCAUCUGCAGGCCCUGUAGAAGAUGCCAAUCAAAAUAAACUGUGUUCCUGAGACACAGGGGCAGAAAUUAAAGCUAUUCAACUCCUCAAGGCCAAGGGAUUAUCAUGGAAGAGGUGGGCAGGCGAGAAUGUAAAGGCCAAUUUUGAGAGAUAAAGUAAA
rnacentral:lncRNA from 1 species